CCUACGGGAGGCAGCAGUGAGGAAUAUUGGUCAAUGGACGAGAGUCUGAACCAGCCAAGUAGCGUGAAGGAUGACUGCCCUAUGGGUUGUAAACUUCUUUUAUAAAGGAAUAAAACGAGGCACGUGUGCCUUUUUGCAUGUACUUUAUGAAUAAGGAUCGGCUAACUCCGUGCCAGCAGCCGCGGUAAUACGGAGGAUCCGAGCGUUAUCCGGAUUUAUUGGGUUUAAAGGGAGCGUAGAUGGGUUGUUAAGUCAGUUGUUAAAGUUUGCGGCUCAACCGUAAAAGUGCAAUUGAUACUGGCAGUCUUGAGUACAGUUGAGGUAAGCGGAAUUCGUGGUGUAGCGGUGAAAUGCUUAGAUAUCACGAAGAACCCCGAUUGCGAAGGCAGCUUACUAAACUGUGACUGACAUUGAUGCUCGAAAGUGUGGGUAUCAAACAGGAUUAGAUACCCUUGUAGUC
rnacentral:rRNA from 1 species